rnacentral:rRNA from 1 species
UACGAAGGGGGCUAGCGUUGCUCGGAAUCACUGGGCGUAAAGGGCGCGUAGGCGGCCAUUCAAGUCAGGGGUGAAAGCCUGUGGCUCAACCACAGAAUUGCCUUUGAUACUGUUUGGCUAGAGACCGGAAGAGGUAAGUGGAACUGCGAGUGUAGAGGUGAAAUUCGUAGAUAUUCGCAAGAACACCAGUGGCGAAGGCGGCUCACUGGCCCGUAACUGACGCUGAGGCACGAAAGCGUGGGGAGCAAACAGG